rnacentral:rRNA from 1 species
UACGUAGGGUGCAAGCGUUAAUCGGAAUUACUGGGCGUAAAGCGUGCGCAGGCGGCUUUGCAAGACAGAUGUGAAAUCCCCGGGCUUAACCUGGGAAUGGCAUUCGGGACUGCAAGGCUGGAGUGCGGCAGAGGAGACUGGAAUUCCUGGUGUAGCAGUGAAAUGCGUAGAUAUCAGGAGGAACACCGAUGGCGAAGGCAGGUCUCUGGGCUGACACUGACGCUCAUGCUCGAAAGCGUGGGGAGCAAACAGG